rnacentral:rRNA from 1 species
UACAGAGGUCUCAAGCGUUGUUCGGAUUCAUUGGGCGUAAAGGGUGCGUAGGCGGCGCGGUAAGUCGGGUGUGAAAUCUCGGGGCUUAACUCCGAAACUGCAUUCGAUACUGCCGUGCUUGAGGACUGGAGAGGAGACUGGAAUUUACGGUGUAGUGGUGAAAUGCGUAGAUAUCGUAAGGAAGACCAGUGGCGAAGGCGGGUCUCUGGACAGUUCCUGACGCUGAGGCACGAAGGCCAGGGGAGCAAACGGG